GCGAGAGUGGCGGAACUGGCAGACGCGCAAGACUUAGGAUCUUGUGGGUAAACCGUGGGGGUUCAAGUCCCCCCUCUCGCACCA
rnacentral:tRNA from 1 species